rnacentral:lncRNA from 1 species
UAGGAAUGGCUUGGUUGGAGGAUAAUGUCAUGAAAUUUCAUCAAUCUUUUUUUUUUUUUUUUUUUUUGUGACAUCAAAAUUUCAUCCAUUUAUAAUUUACGUAAUAUUUUUUAAAGCAUAUUAAUAAACAAUAGAAGAAGAGAGUUCGCACAAGCGGGACGUGAUGUUUGGCACGUGGGAAAGGUUGGAGGAAAGAUCAGAAGUCAAGUGCUGAUCAGAAUGUUAACUUAUGUUUGUGUUUGUGUGUAUUGGGAUAAUCUAGAAAACCGAUGAAAUCGACACAUAACCGUUUUUUUUGGUUCAACAGCUUCUUAGAGAUGGAGAGUACUUGAAGUUUC